rnacentral:rRNA from 1 species
AACGAACGCUGCGGCGUGCUUAACACAUGCAAGUCGAACGCGAAAGUCCCUUCGGGGGCGAGUAGAGUGGCGCACGGGUGAGUAACGCGUAGGAACGUACCUAAGGGUGGGGAAUAACCACAGGAAACCGUGGCUAAUACCGCAUAAUAUCGUAAGAUCAAAGGAGGCCUCUACUUGUAAGCUUCCGCCGUUAGAGCGGCCUACGUCCUAUUAGCUAGUUGGUAGGGUAAAAGCCUACCAAGGCGAUGAUGGGUAACUGGUCUGAGAGGAUGAUCAGUCACACUGGAACUGAGACACGGUCCAGACUCCUACGGGAGGCAGCAGUGGGGAAUCUUGCACAAUGGGCGAAAGCCUGAUGCAGCAACGCCGCGUGGGUGAAGAAGGUUUUCGGAUUGUAAAGCCCUUUUCGGCUGGGAAGAAGGGCGAAGUGGUUAAUACCCACCUCGUCUGACGGUACCAGAAUAAGAAGCACCAGCUAAUUCCGUGCCAGCAGCCGCGGUAAUCGGAAGGUGCAAGCGUU